rnacentral:rRNA from 1 species
CCUACGGGAGGCAGCAGUGAGGAAUAUUGGUCAAUGGGCGCAAGCCUGAACCAGCCAUGCCGCGUGCAGGAAGAAUGCCCUACGGGUUGUAAACUGCUUUUAUUUGGGAAUAAACCUUUCUACGUGUAGAAAGCUGAAGGUACCAAUUGAAUAAGCACCGGCUAACUCCGUGCCAGCAGCCGCGGUAAUACGGAGGGUGCAAGCGUUAUCCGGAAUCAUUGGGUUUAAAGGGUCCGCAGGCGGACCUAUAAGUCAGUGGUGAAAGCCUACAGCUUAACUGUAGAACUGCCAUUGAAACUGUAGGUCUUGAAUUCGGUCGAAGUGGGCGGAAUGUGUAGUGUAGCGGUGAAAUGCAUAGAUAUUACACAGAACACCGAUAGCGAAGGCAGCUCACUAGGCCUGGAUUGACGCUCAGGGACGAAAGCGUGGGGAUCAAACAGGAUUAGAUACCCUGGUAGUCCACGCCGUAAACUAUGAUUACUCGUUUUCGGCGAUAUACAGUCGGAGACUAAGCGAAAAGUGAUAAGUAAUCCACCUGGGGAGUACGAUCGCAAGGUUGAAACUUAAAGGAAUUGACGG